AGUACGGCGAGUGAGCGGCAAAGCUCAAUUUGAAAUCUGGCACUUUCAGUGUCCGAGUUGUAAUUUGAAGAAGGUAACUCUGGAGUUGGCCCUUGUCUAUGUUCCUUGGAACAGGACGUCACAGAGGGUGAGAAUCCCGUGCGAUGGGGUGUCCAAUUCUAUGUAGAGUGCUUUCGAAGAGUCGAGUUGUUUGGGAAUGCAGCUCUAAGUGGGUGGUAAAUUCCAUCUAAAGCUAAAUAUUGGCGAGAGACCGAUAGCGAACAAGUACAGUGAUGGAAAGAUGAAAAGAACUUUGAAAAGAGAGUGAAAAAGUACGUGAAAUUGUUGAAAGGGAAGGGCUUGAGAUCAGACUCGGUAUUUUGCGAUCCUAUCCUUCGUGGAGAGGUUUCACUUGCAGCUUACCGGGCCAGCAUCGGUUUGGAUGGUAGGAUAAUGACAUUGGAAUGUGGCUUUUCGGAGUGUUAUAGCCUUUGUUGAUACUGCCUAUCUAGACCGAGGACUGCGUCUUUGACGAGGAUGAUAAACAUAAUGAUCUUAAGCCGCCCGUCUUGA
rnacentral:rRNA from 1 species